GGAUUGUGGCUCAGCGGUAGAGUGCUCACCUAGCACAUGCGAGGCCCUGGGUUCAAACUUCAGCACCA
rnacentral:tRNA from 1 species